CGCAAUGGGCGAAAGCCUGACGGAGCAACGCCGCGUGAGUGAUGACGGCCUUCGGGUGUGUAAAACUCUGUGAUCCGGGACGAAAAGGCAGAGUGCGAAGAACAAACUGCAUUGACGGUACCGGAAAAGCAAGCCACGGCUAACUACGUGCCAGCAGCCGCGGUAAUACGUAGGUGGCAAGCGUUGUCCGGAAUUAUUGGGCGUAAAGCGCGCGCAGGCGGCUUCCCAAGUCCCUCUUAAAAGUGCGGGGCUUAACCCCGUGAUGGGAAGGAAACUGGGGAGCUGGAGUAUCGGAGAGGAAAGUGGAAUUCCUAGUGUAGCGGUGAAGUGCGUAGAGAUUAGGAAGAACACCGGUGGCGAAGGCGACUUUCUGGACGAAAACUGACGCUGAGGCGCGAAAGCGUGGGGAGCAAACAGGAUUAGAUACCCUGGUAGUCCACGCCGUAAACGAUGGAUACUAGGUGUAGGAGGUAUCGACCCUCCUGUGCCGGAGUUAACGCCAUAAGUAUCCGCCUGGG
rnacentral:rRNA from 1 species